rnacentral:rRNA from 1 species
ACGACGCUGGCGGCGUGCUUAACACAUGCAAGUCGAACGGACGAGUGAGAUAAGUUUACUUAACUCACAAGUUAGUGGCGGACGGGUGAGUAACACGUGGAUAAUCUACCUGCAACACCGGGAUAACGCUGUGAAAACGGUGCUAAUACCGGAUACGUUCCCUUGUGCGCAUGUAUGAGGGAAGAAAGCUCAGGCGGUUGCAGAUGAGUCCGCGGCUGAUUAGCUAGUUGGUGAGGUAAAGGCUCACCAAGGCGAUGAUCAGUAGCCGGCCUGAGAGGGUGAACGGCCACACUGGGACUGAGACACGGCCCAGACUCCUACGGGAGGCAGCAGUGGGGAAUCUUCCGCAAUGGGCGCAAGCCUGAUCCAGCCAUUCCGCGUGCAGGAUGAAGGCCUUCGGGUUGUAAACUGCUUUUGUACGGAACGAAACGGCGAGCUCUAAUACAGUUUGCUAAUGACGGUACCGUAAGAAUAAGCACCGGCUAACUACGUG